AUGAUACGUGCCUACUUUCCAAAGCAAGUGGCGAUGGUAGCAGGUCGUCUGUAGUACGGGUGCUAUCAGGAAUUGAUGAGUCGAUGAGGUGCAGCUCCGUGUACUGUGAGAUUGGAUUGGAGUGGCCCUCCGUUUUUUGAACAUUUGAAUUUGCUGUGGGGACUAGGGGGGUUGGUGUAAGUCGCCCAUGUUCUAUUUAAACACUUGCUUGCUGAUGCUUGUAAGCAGCACGCUGAGACGCAGCACGCUGGGCUUUCUCUCCCUCUAGUUUGCUCAUCGUCCCCAGUCCAGCACUGCAUGGCGCCCCUGCAGCUUUCUCCUCUCUCCUUGGUUUCGGCUGCCUGCUGCGCUCGCACGUCCGGUUCCAAAGGAGGGCGACGGCUGUGAGAACCCGUUGUUUGGUCAAGCGCCAACGUAGGAACGCGUCAGCGGCGGCCAGCGUGUCGCUCUCCAAGGUCGCGGUGACUGGGUUUGUGUGCGAGCAGGUUGGGGAACACGACCCGCUGGUCAACACUGGCGGCUCGGUGCGUGCGCCGUGCUCUCAUGACGGGGACGCUGCCUCCAGCACGUACGAUGGAUUCGCUGCCGUUGAACAAGAUUCGGCCGAGGCGAGCAGCUCUUGCUUGAAGGCUCACAUUUAGUAAUGGAGUGCGCGAGCCGAGGAAAGCUCAAUAAACAUAUGCCAACAAUAUGAUUGUUUGCGUACAUGGGUGUGGUGUGUUAUGUCGUUCGUGGGUUUGUUUGGCGCUCAAUGUAUUUGUCUUCUCGUAUGGAAUAAAAAAAAUUGUGUCAA